ACAGAGGGGGCCAGCGUUAUUCGGAAUUAUUGGGCGUAAAGGGCGCGUAGGCGGCCCUGCGUGUCUUCCGUGAAAUCCCUCGGCUCAACUGAGGACGUGCGGAAGAAACUGCGGGGCUCGAGUCCGGGAGAGGAGGGUGGAAUUCCCAGUGUAGCGGUGAAAUGCGUAGAUAUUGGGAGGAACACCGGUGGCGAAGGCGGCAUCCUGGACCAUAACUGACGCUGAGGCGCGAAAGCUAGGGAGCAAACGGGA
rnacentral:rRNA from 1 species